UCACUUACCUCGACGGGUUCUAUCGAUGAUCAAGAAGGUCCAUGGCCUAGUUGGUGAUCUCCAUUGCACUUGGGAAGAGUGCCCGCCUAAAGUCGACCCAAGUGUUCGAGCCUACAUCAUUAUUUGUUGUAGUGGGGGCCUGCGUUCGCAUCGGCCCCUA
rfam:Helianthus annuus linkage group 14, whole genome shotgun sequence.